rnacentral:rRNA from 1 species
GAAGCGGCAACAGCUCAAAUUUGAAAUCUGGCCUCGGCCCGAGUUGUAAUUUGCAGAGGAUGCUUUUGGUGCGGUGCCUUCCGAGUUCCCUGGAACGGGACGCCACAGAGGGUGAGAGCCCCGUAUGGUCGGACACCAAUCCUGUGUAAAGCUCCUUCGACGAGUCGAGUAGUUUGGGAAUGCUGCUCUAAAUGGGAGGUAAAUCUCUUCUAAAGCUAAAUACCGGCCAGAGACCGAUAGCGCACAAGUAGAGUGAUCGAAAGAUGAAAAGCACCUUGAAAAGGGGGUUAAACAGUACGUGAAAUUGUUGAAAGGGAAGCACUUGUGACCAGACUUGGGCCGGGCGGCUCAUCAGGGGUUCUCCCCUGUGCAUUCCGCCCGGUACAGGCCAGCAUCGGUUCUUACCGGGGGAUAAGAACGGCAGGAACGUGGCUCCCUCUCGGGGGAGUGUUAUAGCCUGCCGUACGAUACCCUGGCGGGGACCGAGGUUCGCGCUUCCGCAAGGAUGCUGGCGUAAUGGUUACUAGUGACCCGUCUUGAAACACGGACCAAGGAGUCGUCCAUUAGAGCGAGCGUUUGGGUGUAAAACCCGCACGCGUAAUGAAAGUGAAAUUAGGUGAGAGCUUCGGCGCAUCAUCGACCGAUCCUGAUGUUCUCGGAUGGAUUUGAGUAAGAGUUUUAACGGACGGACCCGAAAGACAGUGAACUAUGCUUGUAUAGGGUGAAGCCAGAGGAAACUCUGGUGGAGGCUCGCAGCGGUUCUGACGUGCAA